AGUUUGAUCAUGGCUCAGAUUGAACGCUGGCGGAAUGCUUUACACAUGCAAGUCGAGCGGCAGCNCGGGGGCAACCCUGGCGGCGAGCGGCGAACGGGUGAGUAACAUAUCGGAACGUACCCAGUCGUGGGGGAUAACUAUCCGAAAGGAUAGCUAAUACCGCAUACGUCCUGAGGGAGAAAGCGGGGGAUCGCAAGACCUCGCGCGAUUGGAGCGGCCGAUAUCGGAUUAGCUAGUUGGUGGGGUAAAGGCUCACCAAGGCGACGAUCCGUAGCGGGUCUGAGAGGACGACCCGCCACACUGGAACUGAGACACGGUCCAGACUCCUACGGGAGGCAGCAGUGGGGAAUUUUGGACAAUGGGGGCAACCCUGAUCCAGCCAUUCCGCGUGAGUGAAGAAGGCCUUCGGGUUGUAAAGCUCUUUCAGCAGGAACGAAACGGUGGUCCCUAAUACGGACUACUAAUGACGGUACCUGAAGAAGAAGCACCGGCUAACUACGUG
rnacentral:rRNA from 1 species